AGUGUUUGUGGACUGAUGCUUGAUGAUGAUGUGGAGCUUUUUUUGAGAUGUGUAAGAAGCUAGCUGUUUAUCGAACUGUUUAUCAGUGAAUCAUAUUCUUGCAACAAAGUUUACGUAAAAUAACAUUGUUUUUGCAAAGCUUUAAGCUCAAACAUUCCAAAUGUGAACAAACAUUUUGUUUACGGAAGAAACAAAAAUUCACGGAUUAAUUCAACCAAUUUAAAGGACAUUUCAUCUGACGAUGACUCGGUGGUUUAGGCCAUCUUGUUGGAUUUUACUUCUGGGUUUGAUGAACACAUACCAGGUGUUCGGCACUCCGGAUACAGUUCCGGUCGAAUCCCACUGCAACGACGUCAUCUUUUUCCACCAAUCAAAGCUGGUUGUGCUGGAGCAUUGGGCCAACCUGUCUGACACCAACUGCACGCUGGGGUUUCUAGCCUUCACACCGUACCAUCACAACGGCAACCCG